CCUACGGGAGGCUGCAGUAAGGAAUAUUGGUCAAUGGGCGAAAGCCUGAACCAGCCAUCCCGCGUGCAGGAUGAAGGUCCUAUGGAUUGUAAACUGCUUUUAUCAGGGAAGAAACGCCUUCAUUUAUGGGGGUCUGACGGUACCUGAGGAAUAAGCACCGGCUAACUCCGUGCCAGCAGCCGCGGUAAUACGGAGGGUGCGAGCGUUAUCCGGAAUCACUGGGUUUAAAGGGUGCGUAGGCGGGGAAUUAAGUCAGUGGUGAAAGCCUGUCGCUUAACGAUAGAAUUGCCAUUGAUACUGAUUUUCUUGAAUUGGGUUGAGGUUAGCGGAAUGUGACAUGUAGCGGUGAAAUGCAUAGAUAUGUCAUGGAACACCAAUUGCGAAGGCAGCUAGCUGGGCCUUGAUUGACGCUGAGGCACGAAAGCGUGGGUAGCGAACAGGAUUAGAUACCCCGGUAGUC
rnacentral:rRNA from 1 species